rnacentral:rRNA from 1 species
AUACGUAGGGGGCGAGCGUUGUCCGGAAUGAUUGGGCGUAAAGGGCGCGUAGGCGGCUUUACAAGUCUGGAGUGAAAGUCCUAUUUUCAAGGUAGGAAUUGCUUUGGAAACUGUAGAGCUUGAGUGCAGGAGAGGUUAUCGGAAUUCCCGGUGUAGCGGUGAAAUGCGUAGAGAUCGGGAGGAACACCAGUGGCGAAGGCGGGUAACUGGGGUGCAACUGACGCUGAGGCGCGAAAGUGUGGGGAGCAAACAGGAUUAGAUACCCUGGUGGUCCACACUGUAAACGAUGAAUGCUAGGUGUAGGAGGUAUCGACCCCUUCUGUGCCGUAGUCAACACACUAAGCAUUCCGCCUGGGGAGUACGGUCGCAAGAUUAAAACUCAAAUAAAUUGACGGGG